rnacentral:lncRNA from 1 species
UCUGGGGCGUGGCCAAGUACACAAGAUGCCUCUUCAGAAAACCAUCUUCAUGUUAAAAGGAGGUCUACUGAAAACUAACUACCGCUAGAUGAGUCACCUCAAGGUGACCGACUCGGGAGGCAACAGAGAGGGCAAGAAAAAAGAAGUGGUCGUCAGGAUUUCACACACUGCUUCAUGACAAAGACAAUCUUAAAGCAAAUAUUUUGCAUUGCCUAAAAGCUGAGGUUUACCUGGGAACCCUGGUGACUGAUUUGAGUGUCUUCAAUUUUUAGGUGGAAUAAAC